AACUCCUUUCCAUUUUCUCUUUUUCUUUUACUCAUAAUUCUUAUUUUUUUUAUUUAUAUUUUAUUUAUUACUGUAUUUAAAUUUAAAUUACUGUAUUAUUUUUUCAUAGAUGUAUCUAGAGUGGAGAGAUGUGGGUAUUCAAUUACAUCUCUUGCUAAUUUUCAAUCAAGUCAUUACUCUGUGUUUCAAAACAUUUUGAAUUUUAUAUUCAAAGUUAUAUAAUCUUGAAAGUCUUCAUAGAGGCCUUGAAAGUUUUGAUUGGUCUUGAGUGAUUUCUUAAGUAUCGAUAAAAAUUUUGUUUCAACAUAAAUAAUUUUUGUUUAAAUAAAAGUUUUUUUAAUGAUAAAUUGUUAUAUAUUUAUUUAUAAUAUCCCAAUAUUUCUAAAUUUUCUUUCUCUGGAAGAAAGUUUAUUAAAACGUUUUUUAAGAUACUAAAGAUCUUUAAGACUUUCAAGAUUGUAUAAACUUCGAAUAAUAUUCAAACUGAUAUGAACCGAAUUUCUCACAAUAUAUUAGAAUUUAAUACAAAGUAUCUUGAUUUCCAUUACUAGGUGUAUCUUGCGUAUUGAUUUUAAAUUAUUUCCUUGGUUUUACAUUGUAUUAUUUAUAAUAUAUAUUUUUCAAGAUUUGUAAAUUUUGUUAAAAAUCUUCUCUUUUAUGCAUACAAUUUAUAUCUUUCUCUAUCUCUUUUUCUAAAACAAAAAAUAAUAAUUUAAUUAGUAUAACUUAGUAUAUCUUUCAAAAGUUUAAAUCAUAUAAAAACAUUAUAAAACAAGCAAAUGGUAAGCGCAAAAUAUAUCUUUGUUGGUAUUGCGAAGGUUAAGAACAUAGUUAUUUUUCAGUCAAUUAUGCCAUAUUGCAGUACAACUUGUAUAUUUGCAUAUUGAAGUAAAAUUUCUCGCUACUUAGAGAUCUAUUUAAAGUACAUUAAAGUUGAUACAAAAAAGAAUGGACCAUAGAAAUUUAAGAUUUUUACAUUUUCGAGUUUGAUUGAAUUUAUACAAGGUGGUCCGGUAAUUCUGGGACACCCUGUAUAUAGUCACAAUUUUGAAUUUUUGCUUUGUCUUUUAGUGCUUGGAAGUUCUCAACUUUCAAGAUUUUUCUUUCCACAGUUAUUUCGUACAAUUAGUAAUGUUACAUUUGUUAAUUUGUGGAAAUCGAAAAAUCUAUUUUUUAAUAUUUUUAUUAAAUUAUUAAGAACAGAAUGAAAUUUUGAACUGAUAUAUCGUGUUGCGUUGUUCCCGAUCGAAUAUAACAAUUGCCAUUUUUAGAAAUAAGUAUCCUAUGAAACACUAAACGCAAACAAUUAUCAAUAAUUAUUUAUUUCUUUGAAGAAAAAUUCUUUUUAUUUAUGAAAUAUAUAUUGCACGUCAAUUUAUAUAGAUCUUUGCAUUGUGAUCAUCCUAAACAUUUCCUUUGUCUUUUUUUUUUUUUGUUAUAGAGAUAUUUCGGAGGAGAAGAGGGGUUGUGAAACAAAAGAGCGAAUCUUAAUAAUAAUUUUUUUCAGAAUCACAGCUUGUGAGAUAAAAGAACAUCUCUUAACAUUUUUUGAUGGUUAAGAUAUCUCAACAUUGCAACAUUAAUUAAUGCAAAUUAUGUUUACGUUUGCAUCAGACAGUAAUUUGAUUCGUAUAAUCUAUACCUUUUAAGCAUUCAAUUAUCGGUGAAUUGAAUAAAUUUAUUUGUGAUUUUUGUGUCGUAAUUCUAUUAAUUAAUUCUUUUCUGGUGUCGAGUUCGUACACAACACACGCACCAUACAUUUACAAACUUAAAUACUUCAAUGAUUAACCGACCAGCUAAUCAGUUUUUAUGAGUCUAAUUAUGUAUUAUUGUAAAUAUAUAUGUACGUAUAUCACACUGACAUAUUGAUGGACGAUCAAUAUAUUCACUGAUUAAUAUGCUUUUUAUUAUCGUCUAUUAUACCUAAUGCAACUGUAUGAAUACAGUCAUUUUUACGAAUGAGUAUGAGGAACUGAAAAAUCAAAGUAUGAAACCUGCAAAUUAUAGUAAUUUAUAUAUGCAAGAAUAUGUAUCGAUGAAGUGAAAUAUAUUGAUUAAUCUUUUCGAACGAAAAUAAAGGAUGGUAUCUUGUAGUUUUAGUCAUGCCUGUGAUUAAUACAUGCAAUUAUUCAUUAUAGUGAUUGUAUAAUCGUAUAGAUUAAUUAAUACAAAGAGCGACAAUGAAUAUCCUGUAACUUUUUUUCGAUUUUCCUUAUGAUAGCCCACUGAAAAUUUUAUGCAUACGUAGAGAGUGUAAAUGUCUUCUAUAAUAAUAAAAUGAUAUUUUAUACGAACUAUAAACCAAAAAAA